UACGUAGGGUGCAAGCGUUGUCCGGAAUCAUUGGGCGUAAAGCGCGCGUAGGCGGCCCCGUAAGUCCGCUGUGAAAGUCAAAGGCUCAACCUUUGAAAGCCGGUGGAUACUGUGGGGCUAGAGUCCGGAAGAGGCGAGUGGAAUUCCUGGUGUAGCGGUGGAAUGCGCAGAUAUCAGGAGGAACACCAGUGGCGAAGGCGAGUCCCUGGACGAUACCUGACACUGAGGCACGAAAGCCAAGGGAGCAAACAGG
rnacentral:rRNA from 1 species